UUGAAAUUGAUGAAAUAAUUAACCUUUAACAGCGCAUUAUUUCCAUCAUUGGCGCGGGAACAUCAGGAGAGCGCGAAAUCGAGGACUGGAUCCUCGGCUUCACCGUGCCUAUAGAUCCCCGGUGGCUCGCCCAUCUUCCAGAAUCUGGCGUCAGCGGUAGGCGGCCUACUUCCAGCACACUGCGUCGGCGGCCUUCAAUCCAGUCCCCGGCGGCGGCGCCCCCUUCCUCCAGCUCCAGCGGCGGCCGCCGGUUAGCUCGUCCUCGCCGGCGUUGCCCUCCUUCCCAUGCCCGGCGGCAGCGCCUUUUUCCAGAUCGCCAUCAUCGACCUUUGUCCAGCUCUAGGGGCGGCCACCGUUUAGCCCCAUCCACGCCGCCAUCGCCCUCCAUCCAAUCCCCACCGGUGGCGCCCUCACCGUCGUUUCUUCAAUUCCCUGCUUCAGCGCUUCUGUAGAGUCCAGAUCUACUGCAGUUUUAGCGUCCUGCCUCCCAGCCAUCACAGCAUCACCCAAAGUUCGAGACAGCGACGGUGUUGCCGUAAGCAGCGCCGCACAGCAGCAGGUGGUGCUGGUGCAGAGGAGUAUGGAUGUCUUUAGGAAGAGCAAAGAACCGCAAGCUUACUUUGGGAUCAUGCAGAUUACAGGCAUCAAGUUUUGUAUAUUUUAAAUGAGUUCAUUGAUGUGAGAAUCCAAAUUGAUAUCUUGCACACAGUGUGUGUGAUUGAGAUAUAUAUCUUGUUGUGUGAAAAUAAUUCUGAUCCAAAUUGAUAUCUUGCACACAGUAUUGGACGUUUUCCAUAUGCAAUGAUCACAUGCACAUUGGAUCCUUGCUUGCAUGCAGAGAAUUAAUUAGUUUGUAAUUACGAAUAGUCAGUUGAAGAGAUCAUCCUUUGUAUAAGAUGUUGUUUCUACUGAUGUGGCUUAAGAUAGAGCUCAUUAUGAGCUUUACUAUUGAACAUGCCCUUACAAGUACACAGCUGCACACACUUGUUUAUCAUGUCACGGGAUUAUUUUUUUUUUCACAAUUUCUAUACUUCACACAUGUCAUCAUAGUGUAGUGCACGACU